GGGUCUGGCUGCAGACACAUGGGGAAAGUGGAGCUCCACUCCAGACUGGAAACACGUGACCUCCACCGAAGACGUUAUCUCUACUUUUAUGUAGACCUAUGGGGCAACGAAACGAUUUAUUUUGACCGCAAUUAAAUGUUUAUUAAAUAAGAUUGUUUUUACGUUAUGGAAUUUGUUCGCACAUACAAACACAGAGCAAAACGACCAUCUGGAAGACGGAGAAAACAUGGGUAAAGAAGCCCACGGAGUGAUUUAAUGAAGCUACGAGGAGAAAACGCCGCAUUUUCACGCACAGUGACUGGGUUAAACUUGUAAACACUUGGCCAUGAGUAAACUGUUUGAUAUUCAUGUUCUUUUCUCAUCUGCAGCUUCCUGUAUGAGAACAACACACUGCUGGGGCCACAGAAAUGUUGGCUGAUGAGACGCUCAUGAUUCAUGAAAUGGGUCAAAUGCAGAUGACAAAGAAAAGUCAACACUGAGCAGGAGGUGCUGACCCAGACUUCUGCCUCUGUUUAGGUUUUCAGUCUGCAGACAGAAAUUUCAACCAGUCAGACUUAAGGCCCAUUCUGCUCUUCCUCCUCCAGAAAACGAGAGAUAUGUCAGACUGAAUGAUCCAAGUACACUGGGUCAUGUCUCCACUGUCCAUGUCCAGACUCACAGAGGAGGAGGAGGUCCAGACUGCAGACCUGUGGGGCCUCUGGUUGCAUCAGGCCUUCCUCCUGCACAUUCUGUUUGCUGUUGUUCCUAAUGUGUCCUAAUAGUGAUGUGUCCAUAAAGAUUAGGUUUAACGUCUAAUUUCCUCCAGAAGUGAAACAGUAAAAUGGUGGUUUCUGUUCGUCUUAGCUGAAGAGCACCUAAACAGCUUUAUCACUGAGGAAGUG